rnacentral:rRNA from 1 species
GAUGAACGCUGGCGGCGUGCUUAACACAUGCAAGUCGAACGGGAAACCUUUUAUUGAAGCUUCGGCAGAUUUAGCUGGCUUCUAGUGGCGGCCGGGUGAGUAACGCGUGGGUAACCUGCCUUAUACAGGGGGAUAACAACCAGAAAUGGUUGCUAAUACCGCAUAACCGCACCGGACCGCAUUGUCCGGUGUGCAAAACUCCGGUGGUAUAAGAUGGACCCGCGUUGGAUUAGAUAGUUGGCAGGGUAACGGCCUACCAAGGCGACGAUCCAUAGCCGGCCUGAGAGGGUGAACGGCCACAUUGGGACUGAGACACGGCCCAGACUCCUACGGGAGGCAGCAGUGGGGAAUAUUGCACAAUGGGGGAAACCCUGAUGCAGCGACGCCGCGUGAAGGAAGAAGUAUCUCGGUAUGUAAACUUCUAUUAGCAGGGAAGAUAGUGACGGUACCUGACGAAGAAGCCCCGGCUAACUACGUG